rnacentral:rRNA from 1 species
CGCGGUAUUCUGACCGUGCAAAGGUAGCAUAAUAAUUAGUUUUUUUAUUGAAAGCUGGAAUGAAUGAUUGGACGAGAAAACAACUGUCUCUUUUAAAAUUUUUAUUUAACUUAACUUUUAAGUAAAAAGGCUUAAAUUUUUAUUAAAGACGAGAAGACCCUAUAGAGUUUUAUAAUUUUAUAAAUAAUAAUUUAUUUGGAAUUUUUUAAUUUUUUAUUUUUAGAUUAUUUGGUUGGGGUGACUAAAAGAUUUAUUUAACUCUUUUAAUUUUAUUAUCAUUGAUUUAUGAAUAGUCUAUCUAGAUUUUUUAAAUUUAAUAUAAAUUACCUUAGGGAUAACAGCGUAA